rnacentral:rRNA from 1 species
UGAGCAAUCUGCCCUUCUCAUCGGAAUAAGCGUUGGAAACGACGUCUAAUGCCGAAUACGACCUCCUUUCGCAUGAUCGGAGGUGGAAAGCUCCGGCGGAGAAGGAUGAGCUCGCGGCCUAUCAGCUAGUUGGUGUGGUAAUGGCCCACAAGGCGACGACGGGUAGCCGGCCUGAGGAGGGUCGACCCGGCCACACGUGGGACUGAGACCACGGCCCAGACCUCCGUACGGGAGCA